rnacentral:tRNA from 1 species
GCGGAUAUGGCGGAAUUGGCAGACGCGUAUGGUUCAGGUCCAUAUGUUCGCAAGGACAUGCAGGUUCAAGUCCUGUUAUCCGCACCA